UAACCGAACACAAACAAGCAAACAAUUUUCAUUUAUAUUCGUGGCUCAUUUGGUAGGUUCAAAAAAAAAAAAAAAAAAAAGAGGCUACCAGGAAUAUUAAGUGAAACAUGAACGGAACAGGCAAAAAUAACGUACCAGAAGUAAAUCCAUAUGUAGCCAACAAAGCUUUAUUUACAAUAAUAAGUCCAACAGAAGUAACGAUAUUGAACAUCGAAGCAUCAACAUCAAGAGCCGGUUUUUGGUCAUCCUUGCCUGUCAGAGGCAUAUUCUUCCACUGCUUUAAAAGAGACUAGAUUGCUAAUGAUCUUCAGCUUCAGGAAACGACAAAUAUCAGAUCAAUUUAGAGCUGGAACAAGAUCAUUAGGUCCUAAAUCUAUUUCUCUAUUGACUAACAAAGUGAAUUCCCAGACAAUUUUUCAGUGUCAAUAUUAUACUGACCAAGAUAUAUAAUACCACAUAAGCAUAGUUUCGCCAAAAUUGAACGACAAGUCCACAGUUAUCGAAGGUCUAUCACAUCUCACAAAAAGUUAUCCCCUCUAUGUAUUGACCAUAUGACAAAAGGAAAAACUAAAUUUCCCAGUUAGUGGAGUUGAUUGAAAUCCUUUAAAUGUUUGAUACACUAAUUACAUAUUCACCCAUCACAUAUUUAAUCUUGCAUAUAAGAAAUGAUCGAAAUAAAACGUCAAUUAUUCAGGUUAAGUAUAAAUAUAACAAUAAAACAGCUAGUACUAUCGUCCAAGAAGUUAUAAUUCAAUCUAUCCAUAUAAAAUCCCCUAUUUCCAUCACAGAUCCCCGAAAAACACACUUCAAUGAUCAUGAUAAUGCUCAAAAUCCAAAAACCCAAAAAUUAAAUCAACCAAAACAAGCAAAAAGAUUUCCAAUAGUUACAUGUCUAACAAAAUUCUAUCAAAUUCGCUGCACCCAGAAGGAAAAGAUAAAAAUUAACACAUGUAACUAUAUAGAGCCCAAUCUUAAACUCAAUCUUCCAAAUAUCAUACACAAUCAUAGACUUGCAUCACUCGAUUUCAGACAACAAUUCACGCAAAUGGGUUUUCUUAAUGUCCUCAACAUGUGCGUGAAAAUGCACAAGUACACCACAUAAAUAGACACAGCUAAAUCAAAUCGAAAAAUGCCAAGAGUUGAAAUUUUGAAUUUACCGUCAAAUCCUUCCACGGUUCGGUUUCAAAGAUUAGAGAAGAUGAAGCCAUCUACCAGGAUUUCAACGCCAUUUCACAGAUGAAACUAUAAAUUAAAAGGCUAAUACAGGUUUGUACAGGGGCGGAACUGCAAGGCCUGGCCUGCAACAGAUCUCGCGAUCGAGAAGAUUGAAUGGCAGAGAUUGAGAAGACUGGCCGUGUAGUGUCGUCGUCUAAUCGUGAAUCGUCCCAGAGCUGAGACGCCUGGCAAAGUCGUGGAAAGGCGGAGUUGACGUAGCGGUGGUGGAUGAAAUGCCACGUUUUAGGGCAUUGUAAACUUUCAAAUUUUUUACAGUGAACACUAA
rnacentral:lncRNA from 1 species